CAGGUAGCGUCUUGCCCGCCGCCCGCCCGCCCGCCGGGGGCCCGGACCCUGGAGCGAGGGAGGGAGGGCCCGGGACCUGCGAGUUCCUGAAAUGCUGCUCCUGGAGUCGGGCCCCGUAGCGCUCCCGGUUCAGACCUCUGACCCUCUUCUUCCUAAAGCUCCAGGUUAUAGGCACCAGAGGAAUUCUCGCAACUCCCGAAGGUCCGCCCCUUCUUCCUCGUCAAGGACUGGCUUUAGGAGCUUCCGCUCCCCGCAAAAUGGGAGGCAGCUGUUCCAGGUGGAAGCAGAGGCGGCUCAAGGAGAUCAGGCAGCUGCCAUGGAGAUCCUGUUGGAACCUGAGUCAGGCUUGGCCACUGCUCUGUUCAAGACCCAUGAAUGGUACCACCUUGCUCAGAGGAAAAGCCAGAGUCAUCACUGUGACAAGGCCUUCCACCCCCUUACCGCCCCUCUCCCCUUCACAGACUCUGCCCCAGGUACACCAGCCUCAUUGCUGCUCUUCCAACACAGACACAUCCAAACUCUCUGACCAGGUGCUCAAAGGUGCCACCUGUCAUAAAGCCAAGUCCUGCUACCUGGGCGUCAGCCUCUGGGCUCUAUUUUGUUCUACUUGCUCACGGUCAACCACCUCACACCAAAGGAAGCUGUGGAGGCUGCAGAAGUUCCUGGGGGCUUGGAUCUGCCCAAGCCAUUAAGCUGGGGCUGGGGGUCAAAGGCACUGCGACUACCAGGGGACAGGAAGGCUAACAGUGUGGGGCUAUUUUUUGAAAGUGUGGGGCCAAAGGUAAGCUUCUGCCUCUGCCUGGAUAGUGCAUCACUCAAACACUGAAACAUGGAGAGACAGGACGUCUGUGGCUUGUGUGGUCAGAACAUGGCCAGCCCAAAGCCCCCAUGUCCAUGCUUAGUGGAGGGGGGGCAGGGGUCGCUGGCUCCAGCGCAGCUGGCAUAAUGAUCCCUUCUAAAAGCCCUUUUCAUAGGGACACCAAUCUACAGAGGUGACCACUGCACAGCUGGGCAUUGUCCUUCCAUUGCUCCUGUACCCCAUGUUCAGACCAUCAGCAAACCCCAUGGUUCCACCUUCAUAAGGCAUCUCAGCUGACCCCUCUUCCCGCCUCCUCCACUCCCUGGCCCGCUCAGGCCCUGCACUCCUGUCUGAUGACUGUCCCACCUGUAGUGGCUGCUUUUGUCUCCCUAUGGCCCACCACCACACGGCAGCCAGAGAGCACUUUUUAAAAAUAAAAGUCAAA